UCACAAUGCCACCGGGGGAGGCUGAGCAAUAGGGGCAGGUCUCAUUGUCUGCAGACCUACUUCCUUCGUUUCCUGGGGAAUGGAAAGGUGCCCAGCAGCUGAGUGGCCUCAAGCUGGAGACCUACAGGAAGAAGCCGAGCAGUCAUUUGGUUCUUCUACUUCUACGUUUGGGGCUAAUUUUGACAGGGCCUCCCUUCUGCCAGCCCAGGCUUGAGGGGCACCUGUAAGCAAUGGCAGCCGAUGUGACCCAGCCUCUGCAAGUAAGGACAGGGAGCAGCCAAAGACUGGAGACUCUGGGCCCCCAGGUUCGCCUGCCACACUUCCUUAGUGCACCUUGGCGAUGGAGAUCUGGAGACAAAGCCGCCCAGGCCUCUGGCCUAGUGGAGCUGCCCACCAUCCUGCCCACAGAGGGCCUCCCACCAGCCUCAAGCUGUGCUUCACACCCCAUCGAGUCAAAGACUCCAGAAGACACAAGCCCUGAGCAGUCAGAGGAGGGGCGGGGACCUGAGGAUGGCAGUGGGGACGUGGCAAGGCCAUGGAGCCCCGAAUCUUCUCAGUCAGUGGAGCUGAACUCUGCGUGUUUACUGGGAAGCCGCCUUGUGCCUGGCCCCAGGCUCUGGUGAAAAAUAAACUGCCCUCAGGGCCAGCUGGUGGCAAGAAAAA